ACGAACGCUGGCGGCGUGCCUAAUACCUGCAAGUCGAGCGAAGUUUUUCUGGUGCUUGCACUAGAAAAACUUAGCGGCGAACGGGUGAGUAACACGUAAAGAACCUGCCUCAUAGACUGGGACAACUAUUGGAAACGAUAGCUAAUACCGGAUAACAGCAUUAACUGCAUGGUUGAUGUUUAAAAGUUGGUUUUGCUAACACUAUGAGAUGGCUUUGCGGUGCAUUAGCUAGUUGGUGGGGUAAAGGCCUACCAAGGCGACGAUGCAUAGCCGACCUGAGAGGGUGAUCGGCCACACUGGGACUGAGACACGGCCCAGACUCCUACGGGAGGCAGCAGUAGGGAAUCUUCCGCAAUGGGCGAAAGCCUGACGGAGCAACGCCGCGUGAGUGAAGAAGGAUUUCGGUUCGUAAAGCUCUGUUGUUAGGGAAGAAUGAUUGUGUAGUAACUAUACACAGUAGAGACGGUACCUAACCAGAAAGCCACGGCUAACUACGUG
rnacentral:rRNA from 1 species